UACGUAGGGGGCAAGCGUUGUCCGGAUUUAUUGGGCGUAAAGAGCGUGUAGGCGGCCUGACAGGUCUGCUGUGAAAACUCGAGGCUCAACCUCGAGACGCCGGUGGAAACCGUAAAGCUAGAGUCCGGAAGAGGAGAGUGGAAUUCCUGGUGUAGCGGUGAAAUGCGCAGAUAUCAGGAAGAACACCCGUGGCGAAGGCGGCUCUCUGGGACGGUACUGACGCUGAGACGCGAAAGCAUGGGGAGCGAACAGG
rnacentral:rRNA from 1 species